GACGAACGCUGGCGGCGUGCUUAACACAUGCAAGUCGAGCGGAAAGGCCCUUCGGGGUACUCGAGCGGCGAACGGGUGAGUAACACGUGAGUAAUCUGCCCCAUGCUUCGGGAUAGCCAGCCGAAAGGCUGAUUAAUACCGGAGAUGACGCUCUCCUGCAUGGGAGGGUGUGGAAAGUUUUUUCGGGGUGGGAUGUGCUCGCGGCCUAUCAGCUUGUUGGUGGGGUAAUGGCCUACCAAGGCUUCGACGGGUAGCCGGCCUGAGAGGGUGACCGGCCACACUGGGACGGAGACACGGCCCAGACUCCUACGGGAGGCAGCAGUGGGGAAUAUUGGACAAUGGGCGGAAGCCUGAUCCAGCAACGCCGCGUGAGGGAUGACGGCCUUCGGGUUGUAAACCUCUUUCAGCACAGACGAAGCGAGAGUGACGGUAUGUGCAGAAGAAGGACCGGCCAACUACGUGCCAGCAGCCGCCGUAACAC
rnacentral:rRNA from 1 species